rnacentral:rRNA from 1 species
UACGGGGGGUAAGCGUUGUUCGGAAUUACUGGGCGUAAAGGCUCGUAGGCGGCCAACUAAGUCAGACGUGAAAUCCCUCAGCUUAACUGGGAACUGCGUCUGAUACUGGAUGGCUUGGAUUUGGGAGAGGAAUGCGGAAUUCCAGGUGUAGCGGUGAAAUGCGUAGAUAUCAGGAGGAACACCGGUGGUGUAGACGGCUUUCUGGACCGUAACUGACGACUGAGACACGAAAGCGUGGGUAGCAAACAGG